rnacentral:rRNA from 1 species
CCUACGGGUGGCAGCAGUGGGGAAUAUUGCACAAUGGGCGAAAGCCUGAUGCAGCAACGCCGCGUGAGCGAUGAAGGCCUUCGGGUCGUAAAGCUCUGUCCUCAAGGAAGUUAAUGACGGUACUUGAGGCGGAAGCCCCGGCUAACUACGUGCCAGCAGGCGCGGUAAUACGUAGGGGGCUAGCGUUAUCCGGAAUUACUGGGCGUAAGGGGUGCGUAGGUGGUUUCUUAAGUCAGAGGUAAAAGGCUACGGCUAAACCGUAGUAAGCCUUUGAAAAUGGGAAACUUGAGUGCAGGAGAGGAGAGUGGAAUUCCUGGUGUAGCGGUGAAAUGCGUAGAUAUUAGGAGGAACACCAGUUGCGAAGGCGGCUCUCUGGACUGUAACUGACACUGAGGCACGAAAGCGUGGGGAGCAAACAGGAUUAGAUACCCCGGUAGUC